UUUUAAUUUUCAGAGGAAGAGAAUUUCCAAAUGGACAUCAGAUGUACAUGAAGAUGUACAGAAUUGUAAUUUCUCAUGAGGUCUAUCAGAAAUUGAUAUUUCCUUUCACGGAUCGAUAGUCGUCAACGAUAUUUUCGGUCGUUUCGUUCGUCAGCUCUCGUUCCAAGGAUUGGUCGAGCACCAAUCGAAAUUAUCCAACGACGUCGUCUCAUCUUUGUGAACCCACUCUAACGAUCCGUGGAACGGGACGCAGAGGGCGAACGAGUCGACCUGUUCGUGUAUAUUCUUUGUCGUGUGCCUGACGUCGCGUUUUCGUCUUAAAUUCAUUCGUUGUGCUGCCGAGUCUUGUCACGUAAAGGCCCGACAAUCGUGAGAAAGGUGAAAAGCCGUCGUGGAAUGUGGCAGACGUCUCGAAAAAUUUUUCGCCUGUUUCCUAACCUCUCUCUCUCUUCUUUUCGGACCGAGCAUUCCAAUUCGAACGACAACGAAACGAGCUUUGUUGGGUCACGCGACACUCGAUAUACAUUCGAUUAGAUUUUUUUAAAGAAGUCCAAGUCUAAAUUUGUAUAGACCUUGUGAGUUAAGGGAUUUGCCGAUUGAUUUUUGCGGAGAACGAAGAGGAAGAGGGAUACGAAGAGGAAGAGAAAAGGGAUAGGCUCGGGAAAACGCAGCAACAGAAUUUUUGAAUAUUUAUCUUGUGUGAUUCGAUCAAAAUUUCCACGUACUCUAAUCGCAAGGUGAAAGUUCCGCUAACGAGACCAAAGACAAAUUGUACAAACAUAUAUAUAUCAUACGUCAAUAAAGUUGUAGUUAAAAAUUCUCGUUCGUAUCAGUGAUUAAAUUUUUUAAAAAAUUAUAUUUUUAAUCAAAUGUGAUUAGUGAAACCGAUUAUUAUUACGAAGAAGAAGUAGAAUACCAAGUGGCCAAUAGCAAAUGGGAUUCGAUAAGCAACUCAAUUUCGAUUGGUAAGAAGAAGAGUGGUUUCAGGCGUUGGCAAAGGUGGAGUCGAAUAAUGGUAGGAAAUUGCUGCGGCAAUUCUUCUGAACCGGACGCGGAGAGCGAAUCGACGUGUUAAGCUUAUAGCAAUAGGAACGGCUGAAUUUCAGUAUAAUCCUGGCUUGGAUGGAUUUUCUCCCAUCGGGGCGCCCUAGCACGGACAACAACCCGGCGACGUGGAUUUAAAUGGCGUCUUUAAGAAUCGUCUCUUAAACAGCAAUUUAGUGGACAAAUCAUGGGGGAAUGUUGAUGGAGAGAGAUGCUCGACGAAUAGGUCAAGCGGGAUGUGACCGUCCCCUUCACGAUAACAAACCAGAUACAUUAAACAUACUCUCCAAUCAACGAUGACUCGACAACCAAUUUUAUUAUUCACAAGAUUUAUAAUUAUCUUCCAACUCUCUUACAACAAACGAAAUAAAUAAAAGAGUUAAAGAGAAUUCAUGUAUCUUCCUUUAUAC